rnacentral:rRNA from 1 species
UACGUAGGGCGCAAGCGUUUGUCCGGAAUUAUUGGGCGUAAAGAGCUCGUAGGCGGUUUGUCGCGUCUGCUGUGAAAACCUAAGGCUCAACCUUGGGCUUGCAGUGGGUACGGGCAGACUAGAGUGCGGUAGGGGGUGACUGGAAUUCCUGGUGUAGCGGUGGAAUGCGCAGAUAUCAGGAGAAACACCGAUGGCGAAGGCAGGUCACUGGGCCGCAACUGACGCUGAGGAAGCGGAAAAGCAUGGGGGAGGCGAACAGG